GGAGUUAGCCGGUGCUUCUUCUGUGAGUGAUGUCCUUCCUGCCGGCUAUUAACCCGCAGGCCUUCUUCCUCACUGAAAGUGCUUUACAACCCGAAGGCCUUCUUCACACACGCGGCAUGGCUGGAUCAGGGUUGCCCCCAUUGUCCAAUAUUCCCCACUGCUGCCUCCCGUAGGAGUCUGGGCCGUGUCUCAGUCCCAGUGUGGCUGAUCAUCCUCUCAGACCAGCUACGGAUCGUCGCCUUGGUGAGCCGUUACCUCACCAACCAGCUAAUCCGACAUAGGCUCAUCCGAUAGCGCGAGGCCCGAAGGUCCCCCGCUUUCCCCCGUAGGGCGUAUGCGGUAUUAGCCUGGGUUUCCCCAGGUUAUCCCCCACUACCGGGCAGAUUCCUAUGCAUUACUCACCCGUCCGCCGCUCGCCACCAGGGAGCAAGCUCCCCGUGCUGCCGCUCGACUUGCAUGUGUUAGGCUCGCCGCCACGCGUUCAUCUGAGCCGACGAUACAACUACUGA
rnacentral:rRNA from 1 species